GCUCUUUCUUCUUUCAAUGAGGCAAUGAUGGUUCUACUAUCGACGUUUCUCUUUUCAUUAAAGCCCCUCCACCGGCGUUUCUCCUUUUUUUUCACUGAAACUCACACCACCAUCGACAUUUCUCCUUUUUUCACAAAAGCCCCCAUCCUCCUCUACCAAUAAAAGCCUUGAAAAGUUAACAAAACAACGUUAAUUAGAGGUGGAGGAAAAGCAUCAAAAUAGGUGGAAGAGGAACAUGAAAACGAAUAGUAGUAGUUUAUUAGGUAUAUUUAUGGAUUAUGUAAAUUUUAUUCUUUAUGUUUAAACUAUGUUAUUUUCAAUUAUUUAUGAACUAUACAAUUUUAUUUGUUUAAUUACGUAAUUGAACGGCAUUUAACUAAAAAUCUAUAUGAAGAAGUUGAUAUGACGUUGCGGUAACCGUAAGCUGAGUAUAAAUGUUGUGUAUUAGAGUAAUGGGCAUAGACUAGAAUAUAACCGGUGUUAGCGCUACGAUCUCUGAGAGGGAAGAGAAGGGGUAGACACAGGAGAGGAGGGGUAGGCGAUGACCAUAGCAGCAACGCGAGUUAGGGGGAGGAGGCAGCGAGAUGAUGGGAUGGGGAGGCUGGGGUCGCACUAAGGAAGAUGAAUAAUCUAAAUAAUAUUGUCCAUUGAAAUUGAAAAAAAGGAGAUAAAGUUAUUCAGCGAUUUAAAACGUUGAUUUUGAUGAUGUGUUAAGCAUGCAUGUAAUUUGUUUGGUGGAUUUAGUGGAUGCUAUAGGUGUGAGAGUGAUUUUUUGAUUUGAUUGAGUGUGUUUUGCAAUAAUUAAAUUGCUAGAUUAUAUAGUGGUAUAAAUAAGAGUUGACGAAGGAGUCGAUAGUUGUACUGAGGAAGGACGUAACAGAUCGCUAGUAAAGUGACAAGUGCAGGUCAUGAAUUUACUCGGAGCAUGUGAGGUUAGUUCGAUAGUGUCGAUGUUGCCCUUCCCGAGUGAUGCACUGUAUAAUACUGUAGUCAUAUUGUAUAAACAAUAAAAGUUAGUAUGAAUGAAAGCCAAACGAAAAGGCUAACAAGCAUUACCCUUACACACAUUGUUUUCAGCUCGAUUCCCAUGCGAUCUAACUUGAUCGCACUGAAAGAUGAUGCAAGAUGAUACAAUACUGAAAGAUGAUACAAGACUUUAAGUUAUGUAAUUUUAGUUGUUUUGUAUGAAUUGUAUAAUUUUAUCUAUUUAAUUGUGUAUUUGGAUGUAUUUAUUCAAUAAAAUAACAUAUUUUAU
rnacentral:lncRNA from 7 species